AGUGAACGCUGGCGGUAGGCCUAACACAUGCAAGUCGAACGGCAGCACAGUAAGAGCUUGCUCUUACGGGUGGCGAGUGGCGGACGGGUGAGGAAUACAUCGGAAUCUACUUUUUCGUGGGGGAUAACGUAGGGAAACUUACGCUAAUACCGCAUACGACCUACGGGUGAAAGCAGGGGAUCCUCGGACCUUGCGCGAUUGAAUGAGCCGAUGUCGGAUUAGCUAGUUGGCGGGGUAAAGGCCCACCAAGGCGACGAUCCGUAGCUGGUCUGAGAGGAUGAUCAGCCACACUGGAACUGAGACACGGUCCAGACUCCUACGGGAGGCAGCAGUGGGGAAUAUUGGACAAUGGGCGCAAGCCUGAUCCAGCCAUACCGCGUGGGUGAGGAAGGCCUUCGGGUUGUAAAGCCCUUUUGUUGGGAAAGAAAAGCAGCAGGUUAAUACCCCGCUGUUCUGACGGUACCCAAAGAAUAAGCACCGGCUAACUUCGU
rnacentral:rRNA from 1 species